AAAAAAAAUCUAUUUUUUUUCUUGCCACACUCUUAAAAUUCUCCUGGUUUCCUUUGUUUUAGAGUCUUUUUUUUGGUUUGCUGUUUUUUUAAGUUUUUUGUGUGUUGAUUAUCAUCUGAAAUUGCUUUUUUCACAUCUUUUUUUUUUUGCAAUUAAACUUUGUUUCUUUUCUCUUUUAUCAUUCUUUUUCUUUUCAUUCUUUUCUUUUUCUUUUUCUUUUUCUUUUUCUUUUUCUUUUCUUUCUUGAUCAUAUUUUUCUCUCAUUUU
rnacentral:lncRNA from 1 species